UGUGUUGGACAUCAGAUAAGAAAUAAACAGCAUUGUUACUAUAUCGGCACUCCUCCUAGCCCGAGGUACCAGGGAGGACCCUAAGUCGCCUUCAGAAUCCGGACAUGGCUUGGUGCCUCCCUAGCUGUGUGACUGAGGAGACCACUUAAGCUCUUCAGUCUCAGAGGGCUGACUCUGGAGUCACAGAGUGUUUUUCAUAUGUGGAUUACUUCUCUAUGGCUAUUUUGGCCACUUUUUGUUUAGUGUUCAUUUUCUCUGAAACUUGGCUCUCAAGCAGGCUCACCCAGCCAGACCCUGUGGAGAGCGGAAAAAACGAGAUAAAAGGGCCUUCAAGGACCUUAAAGAACCUCCAAGGACCGUGUAGUUUCAUCAUGAGCAAAUCUAAGAUAAACUGGCCCAUGAAACUGGGAAAAUGAGGAUCCCAUUAGACCACGAACAUAAGAUUAGUAUCCUGUGAACCAGCCACAAAUCACGGAGACACGGAUAAGACAAACACCCAAAAGAGCUCUCUUUUAAUCAGAUGGCUCCUGCCGGCAUGAGAUGCCAGAGGUAUUCCUUUCAGUAGAUUCCGGCCUGUGCUGCAUCACCUUGGCAACAAGAUUCAGAGGCAGAGCCCUGGCCUUGAGCUUGUCGGAGUCUCCAACUAGGAGACCUGCAGCCCCUCUCGCUCUCCGGAACGGCAAGUUGUCAUGCCAACCAUUAACUAUAAAACCCAUCUCUCCCUUCUAGGGUUUUAAUUCAAUAACUUUUCAAAUUGGUUCCUUGUGUAAUUCAAUUGGCUUGGAAAUGUAAUAAACGAGUGUAUGUGCA